UACGUAGGGGGCAAGCGUUGUCCGGAUUUAUUGGGCGUAAAGAGCGUGUAGGCGGCCGCACAGGUCCGUUGUGAAAACUGGAGGCUCAACCUUCAGACGUCGAUGGAAACCGUGCGGCUAGAGUCCGGAAGAGGAGAGUGGAAUUCCUGGUGUAGCGGUGAAAUGCGCAGAUAUCAGGAAGAACACCCGUGGCGAAGGCGGCUCUCCGGGACGGUACUGACGCUGAGACGCGAAAGCGUGGGGAGCGAACAGG
rnacentral:rRNA from 1 species